AAAAAAAAAAGAGAGAGAGAAAAAAAGAAAAAAAAAGAAUGAAUCAAAAAAAAAGGGAAAAGAAAAUAAAAAAAAGGAAAGAAAAGAAAAAAAAAAGAAAAGAAAGGAAAAGAAAAAAAAAAUACAAGAAAUAAAAGAGUUGUUAAGUGAAUAGAUUUGGGCUAUUCGAAAAUGGUCCAAUUCAUCACUUACUCAUAAGCCGGUUCAACUCAAAUCGAACUAAGGUUCAAAAACUUUGAACCAAACAAUAAACCGGUUCGACCUGAACGGAAUUACAAGUUGGUUCAACUCAAACUGAACCACAUGAGGAUCAAGUAGACCG
rnacentral:lncRNA from 1 species